rnacentral:rRNA from 1 species
UGGGUAAUCCACCCUCGGCACCGGAAUAGCCCGAGGAAACUCGGAUUAAUACCGGAUGGCCCCUCCGACUUUCGGGUCGGUCGGGAAAGGUAGCUUAGGCCUCUGGCCGGGGACGAGCCCGCGGCGGAUUAGCUUGUUGGUGGGGUAAUGGCCUACCAAGGCAACGAUCCGUAGCUGGUCUGAGAGGACGAUCAGCCACACUGGGACUGAGACACGGCCCAGACUCCUGCGGGAGGCAG